GACGAACGCUGGCGGCGUGCUUAACACAUGCAAGUCGAACGAGAAUCUACUGAAGGAGUUUUCGGACAACGGAUGUAGAGGAAAGUGGCGGACGAGUGAGUAACGCGUGAGGAACCUGCCUUGAAGAGGGGGACAACAGUUGGAAACGACUGCUAAUACCGCAUGACGCAUAGGGGUCGCAUGAUCUUUAUGCCAAAGAUUUAUCGCUUCAAGAUGGCCUCGCGUCUGAUUAGCUUGUUGGCGGGGUAACGGCCCACCAAGGCGACGAUCAGUAGCCGGACUGAGAGGUUGAGCGGCCACAUUGGGACUGAGAUACGGCCCAGACUCCUACGGGAGGCAGCAGUGGGGAAUAUUGGGCAAUGGGCGCAAGCCUGACCCAGCAACGCCGCGUGAAGGAAGAAGGCUUUCGGGUUGAAAACUUCUUUUAAGAGGGAAGAGCAGAAGACGGUACCUCUAGAAUAAGCCACGGCUAACUAC
rnacentral:rRNA from 1 species